CGUAUGUCUUGGGUGCGGCCCUAAAAAGAAAAAUAAAAUAAAAUAAAAUCAGUUAAAUAAUGUGUUAGCAGUACUCCACAGGCAGCUCCCUCCACUUGCUUGUCCAGCAGUGCAGAGAUAGCUGGCUCUGCCCCUGGCAGCCAGUGCAGGGAGGUCAGGGGCUCAGAGACGUCUACAAAACACACAGGCGGGAAAAAGGAGGACGUGUGUGACCUGUUCUUCGCAAAUGAAGCAGGGACCCUGGAGCCCCACAGCUCAGUCACCACCCAAGACUUGCCCCCUCAGGUCCCUGGGAGCGAUUUCUGGACUAGAAACCCGUGUCCCCAGGGCACUGUCUUUUACCAGCUUGUCACAGCAGUUCUGGGGAAGCCACAGCUAAGAGACCCUAAAGCAGGCCCCUCUGAGCCUCCUGAUGCUGGAGCAAUAAAGGUGCUUUCACAUCGGCUGCCAAUAGGGGACGGAGCUGCCGGCCAGGCUUCAGCUUGAGUUCUGCUUCUUUGCGGGGGCCCAGGGCCAGCCCCCCCCCACCGCCCACCCCGUGCGGUGUAGGGGAAGGGCCCCAGCACCACGCGGCUCAUCAGCAGCAGCAGAGUGGCGACGAGGAAGGACAGGAGGUCCCACAGCAGCGCGGAGAGCCAGAAUGUAGCCACGUACAGGCCACCGAUGAACCGGACCUGCUGGAGGCGCCUCUCUUUGACCGUCAAGAUGGAAACAGAGCUGGACAGGAAAGCCAUUCCAAAGAGCAAGCUGAGGACGAGGACAUGUCCUUUAGGGCCCCUGCAAAAGGGCCGGCGCCGCGGCGGGGGGAGCGGUCCGCCUGGUGGUUGAACAGCUCCGUCGCGGUCGAUCGCGGGCUCCCCCACGUCUUCGAAGGAAGCUGCCGCUGAGUAGUUCUGGUCGAAGACCUCAGGCUCCUCCUCUGACUUCUUCAGAAGGAAUCCUUCCCGAGAACCUGGAAGGCACAGGCCGCCCGGGCGCCCCACCCCGCCCGGCGGCCCGCCUUUGGUAUCCCCCAGACCCCUGCUCCUCCUGGGCAUCCGUCGCCUCACCCACCGCCACCCACGCCCGGAGGUGGGCGCCUCCUGACCUGGCCGUGCCCUCAGGUCCACCCACACUGCCGCCUCCUGCCCGAGCCUGAGGGCCCUGUGGCCUCAAGCACGUUUUCCUUUCAUUGCCUGAAGCAGCAGAAAACGAAGCCUCGCCAUCUUUUGAGUGUCCUUGGGUUGCUGUCUACGCCCCUCCUGUUCAGGGUCAAAGCCCUGCCACCUCUGCCCGGCCUGGGCGGCUUCAUGGAGCUCCGGCCUCCCCUCUGGCCCCUCGGGGCUUGUGUGAGGCCACGUCCCAUCAUUUCGCACCCUACCCCGCAACUCCAACUGCCUCCCUCUGCGCUCGGAUAGAGCCGGCUCCUUCCCGCGGCCUUCAGCGUCCGACUGCUGUGCAAGCUCAGCUUCCCGUGUGCAAGCUCUAGCCAGGCCUGAAGACUCGCUGCUCCCACGCUCAGCAAGGCUCUUCUUGUGGUUUGGGAUUGUCCUGGAGUUGCACUCCCCUGCUGUGGGUCACUUGCUAUUCCUACCUUAGGCUCUGAACUCUGGGGCAUCCUCUGGUGCCCCAAGGCUAAGUUAUGUCUGUGUGACCACCAUUCAUUGUUCCUGCGCAGUGUAACUACUGUCAGGCAGCCAUAUGCUCUCGGGCUAGGAGGUCCCUAAGGCCUGGUAGCAUUAUUGUUCAACUCCUCACUGCCAGCAAACAGUGCCAAGUAAAAUAUAUGACCCACCUAGAACUCUGGAAUUUUUAGCUCUGGAAGGGGCCUUCAAUCAGCACCACCACCACCGCCGCAGGGGUGCCAUCAGUGAACUGUACCAUCGGCUGAAAGUUACUGAGUGUUACACUGAGCGAAGGCCUUGACAGGCACUCCCUCGUGGGAUCCUCCAGUGACGACGGGGGCAAGGGGUGUUAUUCUCUCCAUUUUGCAAAUGAGGAAACCAAGGCUUGCAAAGGUUGGCCACUACAGUCCCAACCCGUUUGCUAGCCCGUAGUCUGCAUUUGAUCUCUUUACUUAAAAAAAAAAAAGUCCUUAACAAUUUUAAGUAAAAAUAAUACAUGAAUAUAAUUUAAAAAACCAAAUAAUUAUACAGAACUCAUAAUGAGAAAUGGCAGUGCCGAGGCCUGCCCUUCACGCUCCCUGGUACCUGCUCACCAGAGGCAACCCCUCUGAGAUGUUUUAGCUGGUGUUUCUCCAGCCUGCUGAGUGCUCCAUGUCUCUACCGACAUCCUCCCACAGCAGCGAAGACGGUUCUCUCAUGACUCCCUUCACCCCCAUGGCCUCCCCCCUCCCCGAGUUGUGUCAUAAAUUUGGUUUAAUCAAUAGGCGGUUUUGACGGUACUACGAAAAGUAAAAUUUAUCCCCAGCUGAACCAACUGGUAUACCACGACAUGUUUCUUUUUUGUACACCUUUCCACCUCUGAAGUGAACAACUGGCUCCUUUUCUCAUUUGCUUCGUUUUCUUUGCAUCAGUCACCACGUCCACACGCUCCCUUGAUAGAAGUGUAAACCUCCUCUCCAUACAGUCAAACAUACGAGACAACUUACCAGUUUCAUUUUUGGACAUGCUUUAGCCCCCAGAAAGACACAACUUGGCCUCAAUUCCACGAAGUCCACUCUUGCUGCCAUUUGGGUUUUGAAAGACGUUUUUCUGAGAUGUCAGGGAGCAUCACGUGGCUGCACCACGAGGAGUGCCUCCUGCCCCGUUCUCCUGGGCCUGGUACGUACUUCGCAGCUUCGGAGGAAUCUGCUUCUCAGCCUUAAGCAUGUCUGCAAAAUGUCCUGAAAGCUCAGGACCCAACCUGGAAUUCGGAGAAAUAAAGAGGGGAACCACAGUUUGACUAUAUGGUCUCAGGCUCAGCUCCCAUGGGACACGUCCCACGUCCGCGGUGAAGGUGAGGAACGAGAAGCUGAUUAUAAUGAUCACCAGAGGCGCCAGGAUCUGAAUCGACAGCGUCGUCGUCCAAGAAAAAGUAGCCCUUUUCAAGAACAUGGCGUAGAGCUGCUGGCAGAGAAGACCGAACUGCCGUAGAAAGAAAAGAGGACAACCCUUACCCUGGUCGUAGGUGGAAGCUGGCUUCUGUCCAGCUGCAUAUUCUCUCUCGGAGUAUGUCUGACAUUUUGAUAUGGUCAAAAUUGCUUCAGAUUAAAAGUCUCUGACCCAAUUAUUUGAUUCACAUUUAAUGGCAGAAGGAGGCACAGAUUGGAAGGAGCCUGGAAGAAUGAGCCUAAACAGACACCAAAUGUAAACACAAUGCAAUUGCUUUUUACCUGCCAGACUGGCAAAAAAUUAAGUCGGUGAAGGUAGAGGAGAAAUGCCAUGGCUGGCACUUUAAGCUGGUACAGCUGUUUUGGAAAACGAAUUAGCUGAAUCAAUAAAAUUAGAUAUGUACGUGGCCUUUAACCUAGAAAUUUCACUUUCAGGAAAGUACCCUUUAGACCACAUGUAUGGGCAACGCAGGACAUGCACAAACGUGUCCCUGAGGCAGUGACAGUGACAGUCAGCAUGUGUGGUGUACCCAGAGAUCCCAAGUGCCAGUGCUGGGCCUAGAGGCAGGGACUACGCUGUCGCUCAGCCUUUCUGUGGCACCGCACUAGCUGGGAUGGGCAGGGGGCCUUCAAGCCUCAGGUGCCAGUGUUCCUUGUUCCCCAAACACCCAAAAAUCCAUGAAAGUCUCUAGCAAGCACCCCCCCCCAAGUUUCCCCCGGUUGACGUGAUGGAGGCUCCAUUCCCCGCAAGCACUCAACAGAAGGCCCUGCCAUCGACCUGUCUGAGGGGGUGCUCUGAGAAAUACCUCCUGGGAAGUUUCCAGGGCUCUUUCCACAAGCAAAGCUAGGCCUGAGAGAUCCAUCCUGGAGGUUGGAGGAGAGCCUGCUACACAAGACAGGGGCCGGCCUAGGUGACCGCAAGACUCUUUCCAACUCAGAGGCUCCAUGGAUGGCAGCUUCCCCCCCAUGUGGGAUUCAAGACUAUAAAACAGUGAGAUUAAUCUCUUUCCUGACCCACAAACACCAGUCUCUAUUAUUUUGCAGCAUACCUCAGAGAUAGCUCCAUCAAGACUACUAUACAAAAUGCACAUCAGUAUUCUUUUUCAGCAUUAAAAGAAUGUUACAGGUUGUCCGCGUAUUUCAUAAGGAUAUGGUUUUGAAAAUUUAAAUUCCAGGUGGAUGAUUAAAAAAAAAAUAAAGAUUAAACAUGCUUUC